rnacentral:rRNA from 1 species
CCGAGUAGUAAUACCUGGUGAUUUCAGUGGCGCACGGGUGAGUAACACGUGAAUUACAUGCCCUUCAGUGGGGAAUAGCCCAGGGAAACUUGGAUUAAUGCCCCAUAGUCUCGCAAGAGUAAAGGUGGCCGCAAGGCUGUCGCUGAAGGAUUGGUUCGCGCCCUAUCAGCUUGUUGGUGAGGUAACGGCUCACCAAGGCUACGACGGGUACCUGGUCUGAGAGGACGAUCAGGCACACUGGAACUGAGACACGGUCCAGACACCUACGGGUGGCAGCAGUCGAGAAUAAUUCACAAUGGACGAAAGUCUGAUGGUGCAACGCCGCGUGGAGGAUGACGGUCUUAGGAUUGUAAACUCCUGUCAUCCGGGAGAAAGACCUGGGAGUUAAUAGCUCACAGGGUUGAUAGUACCGGAAGAGGAAGGGACGGCUAACUUCGUGCCAGCAGCCGCGGUAAUACUAAGGUCCCCAGCGUUGUUCGGAAUCACUGGGCGUAAAGGGAGCGUAGGCGGCGCGGUAAGUCGGAUGUGAAAUCCCGAGGCUCAACCUCGGAACUGCAUCUGAUACUGCCGUGCUAGAGUAAUG